CCUCCAUUGUAUUGAUUUUUUUUACUUUUUUUUCUUUUGUUUAACAUACUUAUCAUUCUUUUUUUUAUGAUUAUGAGAGGAUUUUAUAUAUAUCAGUAUAAUGUCAUUAUCUCGACCAUUCGACUUCAUCAAGGAUGUCAAUGACUCGAAGCAUCUCUAGAAGAUUGCUGUUAGGAUCACACAACUUUGGUAUGUCCAAAUACCCCCAAAACCUGGUCAUCUUGAGAUGAUCUUGAUGGAUUCCAAGGUGGUUGGUGUUUUUGAUAAGCUUAUCUUCUCCCAAUCACAAUCCAAUUUGAAGAAGUGGUGAUGUUAUUUCAUGCACCCUAUGGGAGGCGUACGCUAUCAAAUUUCUCAACUUCUACAAUAACCAACCCAGUCUUCAACCUUUGGUUAUUCUUUUAACUAAUGCUAGAGUGAAAGAAGGUC